CAAGAAAUAGUUUAUUAAAAAUAUUAAUUUUGGGAAUUAAUGAAAAGGAUUUAUCUUUUUUCUUGA
rnacentral:tRNA from 1 species